AUUCAAGCAAGAGGACCAGCCAUUGAGCCAGAGCAAGAGAGGAACAACCAUCCCCUCUCUCCCUCUCUCUCUAUGCGUGGGUGUUGAGUGUGUUAUGCCAAUGGGAGCUCGUCAAUCGAUCUCUGCUUUAAGGAGAUAAUAAUAUGAUCACGUCUGUAAUUUCUAAACGCUCCGCCAUGAAACAAGAGUGGUUAGAUAUGAACUUGUGGUAGUGGUGGGAAAUAAAUUGAUCUGUGGCUGGAUUGUCUGCUGAUGUCUUUUGACGACAAUCACAAGAAGCAAUGGGUUUGUGGCAAUUGCAGCACAGUGUAUCUGCAUCGAGUCAGUUCAAUUGUUUGGGACAUUGGAGAACCGUGUCUUCAUCAAUCACCAAUAAAGGUUGUCAGAGCUAUAAGCAGAAUGCUUAAGCCGGACAAGUGGCAGUCUACAUUUGAUAGUGAUGGGAAAGUUUUUGGUUUUCAGAAAAUACUUAAAUCCAUUAUUGUUGGGGGAAUUGAUCCAUCUGUAAGGGCAGAAGUAUGGGAGUUUCUUCUUGGAUGUUAUACUUUGAGCAGCACCACAGAGUAUAGAACACAGUUGAGAACUGCCCGGAGAGAAAGGUAUAGGGAUCUCGUCAAGCAAUGUCAGGCCAUGCAUUCCAGCGUAGGGACUGGAUCUCUUGCAUAUGUUGUGGGCUCAAAGAUAAUGGAUAUGAGGAAAAUAUCCAGAGACAGUGGAAGAAGGGAUAUGGAAAUGAAAAGCAACGCAUCAGAUGAUGAGACUGACAAAUUAGAGAAAUAUUGUGAUUGGGGUAACAAUGUUACAGUUCCGGCAUAUGAUGUUAGGGAAAGCUCUAGUGACUCUGCUGAUCUAGUCAGUGUUAGGCAAAGCAUGGAUUGUGCAGCCUACGAUUCCUCUUGUUUUAUGCCACCUUCAGGUCCAUACAAUCAAAGUUGUUCAAAACCUAAGAAUGAUUUGGAUAUGGAUAGUUUUGAUUUUCCUAUGUUGCCAGUUACCAAUUUGUUUGAGAAAGUAGGCAAAGAUAAGGGACCUGACAAUAGGAACUACAGUCGUCGAGAAUUACAAUUUGACGACGAGCAUAUGCACAAUUUUCAAAUAGACAGCAAUAUAGAUCUAGUAAUGGAAUCAAACACUUCAUGUUUUGCCUGUUCUUCACAUGUCAUCGAUUCUGAAAUUCAACAACCAAUAUCUGGUGUGUCUGAAAUGCCAUUUGCAGAAUCUAAGGACGACAGAGUAUCCGAUUGGCUAUGGACUUUGCAUGGAAUAGUUGUUGAUGUGGUUAGAACAGAUUGCAAUCUUGAAUUCUACGAGGAUAAGAAGAAUUUUGCUCGAAUGUCAGAUAUUCUUGCUGUGUAUGCUUGGGUGGACCCCGCUACAGGAUAUUGCCAAGGCAUGAGUGAUUUGCUCUCUCCAUUUGUUUUCUUAUUUGAGGACGAUGCUGAUGCUUUUUGGUGCUUUGAGAUGCUUAUUAGAAGAACGCGUGAAAAUUUUCAAAGAGAAGGUCCAACAGGUGUGAUCAAGCAGUUACAAGUUCUGUGGCAAAUUCUGGAACUAACCGAUAGAGAAAUGUAUUCUCACCUUUCACGUAUUGGUGCUGAAAGCCUUCACUUUGCCUUUCGGAUGCUGCUAGUACUUUUCCGGCGUGAAUUAUCUUUCAAUGAGGCUCUUUGCAUGUGGGAGAUGAUGUGGGCUGCUGACUUUGAUGAAUCUCUGAUGCACCAUUUAAAGGAGAACUGUUUGGAGCCAUUGAUCAUACAGAUUCCCAUGGAGCCAAUUGCGGAGAUUCAAGAAGAAGGCACUUUGAACUACAAUAGUAACCUAAAAGGCGACUCACAAUCAAAUCAUGGAGAUGUGAAUGAUAACAGUAGCGUGAAAAGUGGGUCCCAUUCAAAUCAUGUCAAUGUGAAUGACUACAGUCAUGCGAAAAGUGGGUCACAUUCACAUUCUGGAAGUAUUGAAGGCCCCAACUCUGAUCAUGCCGUAGUUAAACAUCAUUUGACUCGCCCAUUUUGUGGAUUGACACAAAACUUCUGGUCGAAAAACGACAGGUUUCAUACAUGCACCAUAAUAGCAUCCAGGAAUUGUGACGAAGAGUUGCCUGUCUUUUGUGUGGCUGCAAUUCUAUUCCUAAACCGCCAUAAAAUUAUAAGAGAGACUCGUUCUAUGGAUGAUCUGAUAAAGAUAUUCAAUGAUAGGUUGUUCAAGUUCACAGUGAAGAGAUGUAUACGUACAGCCGUCAAACUCCGCAAGAAAUACUUUUAUAAGAUGAACAAGAACAGGAAUCCAGUGGAUUGGGAUGACGAAUAAGUAUCGUUUUGUUGCAUAGUCCUAAAGCUAUCCAUCCGAAGUUAACUCCAAUUGGCAGCCAAGAUUCAAAGUUUUAAGUGCACAAUAGCACCUUACUUAUAAUAGUACAGCAAGUGAUCAUAUGAUGUUUGACAAUUCUUCCACAACUGUUCUAAAUAAAUUCAAUUCAAAUGGCAUGAAGCAAGUGAUGAGAUCUUUCUUUCUCUCGGCCUGCUCGGAACAGUUCUUGAUUUGAUUUCAUCUUUUUUCAUCCCCCUUUUAUGGGUUUUUACCAUCGGGGUUAUACAUGUAAGACCUUCUUACUAAUAUACGACACGAUUUUUAAGGUUCUAUCUCAUAUUUUUUUUUUUACUUUUGUUGA